rnacentral:other from 1 species
GUUCCCCUGCGGUGUGCGUCAGGAGCGCAGACUUCCUGAGCCGAUACUUUUGAGCCCAAGGAGGGCCGCACUGGUCGUGGAGUGAAAGCCCCUUGUCGGGCUUACCAGAAGCGAUCAUCCGGUCGUCCGCACUUAUGUGACGGGUUCAAGAAGUUGCCCUUCAACGGCAUCUGCGGGGGAUUA